AUUUGAUAGCACCUUCUUCUUUCUUUAGCCUCUUUAAGUGCUUUUUGAUUUCUAAAACUUUUUUCUUUUUAACAUCGUCACACUUGAAUAAGUUCUCACAUGUGGACCAAUUUUUUUUGGGAUAGGAACUGACAUAAUAGUGUGAUGACCUUUGUUGACUCUGAUAUUAUCGUUGGAUUUAUGGUUUAUUUUGAAGUAUUGCACAUCGUUCAUCAAAGUACACUCAGAUAUUUAUAUUAUGUUUAUUGAAUGGCGGAUUAAUGAAUGACUUUCGGCACGUUCACAGGUUUUUAAAUAAGACAAAUGUAAUACAAAACCAUCAUUUAUUAUAAAGAUAUACAAAAUACAUAUUUCUUACAAAAAUUAAAGCUUUCCAGAAAAAAACUAAAGCUACAUUUAUAAAAAAAGGAACGAAAUAAUUUUUUUUGUACUAUGAUAAUUGAGUAAUAUAAAUGAU